UUCUUCAAUUCAAUUGUAACAACAAAUACUUAUAAAACGAACUAUAUUGAAAUGUUUGUUGUUCAAGGCAACUCUAGGUUAUUGAGCUUAAAACAAACAAACAAAUCAGAUCAGUAUAUAUUAAUGCAGAUAUUGAGUUAAAAUUCACAGAAUGUGAACUGAAGAGUUGGUGAGUAGAUCAGUAUGUUGUUGGUCCUGUAUGUGUUCAUUACUACGGUAUGCAUUGGCACACUUGCAAACCAAAACGCGGUGAUUACGCAUUAUAAAAAUAUUAAUGACGGUAAUGGAAAUUAUGUUUUCAGAGUCGAACAAUCAGACGGCAUAAACCGAUGGCAAGAGGGUCACGUAAAGAAGAGUGCAAAUGGAAACACAUACAUUUUCACUACAGGAGGUUACACCUACUUUGAUGACAAGAAUAAAAUCCAUAUAGUCUUAUACGUGGCAGAUGAGAAUGGAUUUCGAAUCGUACAAACGUUAGGUACAGCUUUUGGCCUGCCACCACGGUUUGUGCAAGGAGCAGGAGGUUAAAAUAAUUCCACAUCAUGUCACAGUAUAAUAAAAGAGAUCUAAAUUAAGGACACUCUCCGCCCUUACAUAAUAAAAAGUGUAACAUUAAGGACACUCUCCGCCCCUCACCCGAAACGAUUCCUUUCGCUUCUUCUACCUUCCUGCUCAUACUCAGCCGGAUUUAAGUUGAAAGCUGCAUCAUGCAGCUUGCACGUUUAAUUCACGCGCACUAGCGCAUUGCGUUUCACGUACAGUCGACAGCACAUCAAGCUACUCAAAUUCAUUGCACAUUCCCCUGUAUUACCGCUGAAUAGAGUUCUGUGCAGGGUAACUAGACAUGCUGGCGACUGUACACGAACUUUGUACGAAUAUCGAACGAGUCGCUACAUAUAAAAAAACCGUGUCCUGUCUGUGAUUCGCGGCUCCGCUCACUCAGACCCAAGGCCUGAUUUCAACGAUUAUUAAAAUUACAUUACUUACUUAUAAAGUGUUUUUUUUUAAUACCGCGGUUAUUACAAGUCAAAAUUGUUUAACAGAUUCAAUAGGCGGACUAAGAAUAACAUGAACUAGAAAUAUUUUAUUAAUAAGUAGAACUAUUGCGCAUCGUUGAAAAGAAGAAACAAAUGAGAAAUAAACAAGUUUUUACUUAUUAUUGUGUUAUAUAGACAGGUUUCAAUAAAAAAAAACACAGACUCUUACAUAAAAUUGAAAAUGGAACCAAUAGACUGAUCUAAUAAUACUUACCUUUAUUAUGAUUAAUUUAAUAUUUUGUGUAAAUUAAAGUUAAUUGUUUCGUACAAAUUCCACAGUUAAAAUAAUUAUAGAAUAAGAUAAAUUAGAAUAUUGAAUAACUAAUUUUGGCUUCUAUCCACCUUAUACAUACCCCUUAUUACAUAUUUCUUGAUAUCUCCUAUGCACAGACAUAACAGUUUUAUUAUAUGUAUAGAUAUGAUGAUAAAUUAUCGUAAUUAGUCACAGUUCCUCAUGUAAAUCUGGAAGUAAAUACAUGUGC